rnacentral:rRNA from 1 species
UAGAGUUUGAUCCUGGCUCAGAACGUACGCUGGCGGCACGCCUAAUACAUGCAAGUCGAACGAAGUAGCAAUACUUAGUGGCAGACGGGUGAGUAACAUGUAGGUAUCUUCCCUUUGGCCUGGAAUAACACGAGGAAACUUGUGCUAAUACCGGAUAAGUCUUUACAGAGAGAGCUUUAUGCACCAUUGGAUGAGCCUGCACUUGAUUAGUUUGUUGGUGGGGUAAUGGCCUACCAAGACUGUGAUCAAUAGCUGAUUUGAGAGGAUGAUCAGCCACAUUGGGACUGAGACACGGCCCAAACUCCUACGGGAGGCAGCAGUAGGGAAUCUUGCACAAUGGAGGAAACUCUGAUGCAGCGAUGCCGCGUGAGUGAAGAAGGCCUUUGGGUUGUAAAGCUCUUUCGUCGGGGAAGAAAAUGACUGUACCCGAAUAAGAAGGUCCGGCUAACUUCGUGCCAGCAGCCGCGGUAAUACGAAGGGACCUAGCGUAGUUCGGAAUUACUGGGCUUAAAGAGUUCGUAGGUGGUUAAAAAAGUUGGUGGUGAAAUCCCAGAGCUUAACUCUGGAACUGCCAUCAAAACUUUUUAGCUAGAGUAUGAUAGAGGAAAGCAGAAUUUCUAGUGUAGAGGUGAAAUUCGUAGAUAUUAGAAAGAAUACCAAUUGCGAAGGCAGCUUUCUGGAUCAUUACUGACACUGAGGAACGAAAGCAUGGGUAGCGAAGAGGAUUAGAUACCCUCGUAGUCCAUGCCGUAAACGAUGUGUGUUAGACGUUGGAAAUUUAUUUUCAGUGUCGCAGCGAAAGCAAUAAACACACCGCCUGGGGAGUACGACCGCAAGGUUAAAACUCAAAUGAAUUGACGGGGACCCGCACAAGUAGUGGAGCAUGUGGUUUAAUUCGAAGAUACGCGCAGAACCUUACCAACACUUGACAUGUUCGUCGCGACUCUAAGAGAUUAGAGUUUUCGGUUCGGCCGGACGAAACACAGGUGCUGCAUGGCUGUCGUCAGCUCGUGUCGUGAGAUGUUGGGUUAAGUCCCGCAACGAGCGCAACCCUCACUUUUAGUUGCCAUCAUUAAGUUGGGCACUCUGAAAGAACUGCCAGUGAUAAGCUGGAGGAAGGUGGGGAUGACGUCAAGUCCUCAUGGCCCUUACGUGUUGGGCUACACACGUGCUACAAUGGUAUCUACAACAGGAAGCAAGACUGCGAAGUUAAGCAAAUCCCUAAAAGAUACCUCAGUUCGGAUUGCACUCUGCAACUCGAGUGCAUGAAGCUGGAAUUACUAGUAAUCGUGGAUCAGCGUGCCACGGUGAAUGCGUUCCCGGGUCUUGUACACACCGCCCGUCACACCAUGGGAGUUGGUUCUACCUUAAGGCAAGGUUUCAAACCCUUGACCACGGUAUAGUCAGCGACUGGGGUGAAGUCGUAACAAGGUAACCUA